CUGGCAGAAUGGUGAGCGCGCCAUGCAAAAUGUCUAGCUGUAUUUCGUUCGCCUUUACGUUCUGAGUUCAAAUUCAGUCGAGGUCGACUUUGCCUUUCAUCCUUUCGGGGUCAAUAAAUUAAGUACCAGUUACGCACUGGGGUCGAUGUAAUCGACUUAAU